GCUGGGUACAGUGGCGUGUCCCUAUAAUCCUAGCUACUUGGGAGGCUGAGGCAGGAAGAUGACAAGUUCAGGGCCACUUUGGGCAGUGCAGCAAGACCCUGUCUCAA
rnacentral:sRNA from 1 species